rnacentral:tRNA from 1 species
GCCCCGGUAGCUCAGCCUGGUCGGAGCGCCCGCCUCGUAAGCGGGAGGUCCCGGGUUCAAAUCCCGGCCGGGGCUCCA